CAAACAACAUGCCAUACAAUCUUAAUAAUUUUCAACUAGCUUAGGCAAAUAAAUCAUUUCAACAACCAUAAUUCUUCACAAUAUUCAACCAACCGUAGGCUUUAAAAUAUAGUGUUAAGCUUACCGUUUUCCUUUUUCACUUUGAGUCUUUCAUGUACCCAUGGAUUUAUUGACUUACAUGUUACUAAUUUUUCUCCAAUCAAGCCAAUCUUUUCUGCCACAAGACAUUUCUCUAAGUCACUAACUCAUUUUCAAAAACUACUCAAGCCAAAAACAAGAAUUCUUACCAUUCCUUGCUUGAAUCACUAAAACCAAGCUUUUUCUUCCUUUCUCUCUUUUUCUUUCUUCUCUUCCUAGGUUUUAGAUGUGCUGAAAAUUGGGGUUAAAGGCUGUAAAUUUAGUGCUCAAUAAGUUUGGAGAAGAAAGGAAAAGAAAACAUGGAAAGGAAAAAUGAAGAAAACUUGGUUUCAUGGUGGACAAAGAGAAAAUGGCAUGGAAGCUUCAAGAAUGGUGUGGAGCAUGGAGGAGAAGAGGAAAAAA
rnacentral:lncRNA from 1 species